GGUAGAUGAGAAGAGAAAUAGAUUAAAUGAGAAGAGAGAGAAUAUGCAGAGAUGAGAGAAGAGUAUUCCUUUCUAUUGAUUCUUGGAAUUAGCAUGAAUGAAUACAGAUAAUGAUUCACCUUUUAUACAAGAAUACUGCAUCUAAUACUAACUAAUUUUGUUAUUCUAGACUACUUCCUUCCAAACUAACAACAUUUCCCUUCAAAACACUUCCUACCUGACUCUUUUAUUGCUUAGUACUAUUUCUCCUCUUUCUCCUAUAGUAUGUAACAUCAUAUUGGGUUAUCCUUUAUAUAGCUAGUAUCCAAGGGUCUUGAAAUACAAUGAUGCCUCUUUUCCAAUAGAACAAGUUGGCCCAAACGUAGACUUCCUAAGUUAAAUAGGAAUCCAUUUCCAAAUGGGAAUUUUACCAGUCUUCCAUUAAUCAUGAUCCAAUGCCAACAAAUAGCCAAUGUACAUGGACAGGUCCAUGGCUGUGGGGAUGACUGUGUACCUUUCUGAAACCAAGUCACAUUCUCACACAGACUGGUACAUGGCCAUGGGAUGACCGUGUACCUUUCUGGAGUUUAGUCACCUUCUCACACAGCUGAGCCAUGUGGCUUCUACAUUUCACAUGGACAGGCCAUGUGACUUACUGCUCCAUCCAACAUUGUCUACUUUGAACCAUCCCCUCCUUUGCUUGGGACAAUUAGGCGUAUAGCUUCUCUGAAUAUGAGCCACCUAACUCAAUAUAUAGAUGAUGAUUAUGUAAAUGAAUAUAUAGCUGAUGUUGCUACUAUUAAUUUUCAAAGCACUGAUUAAUAGUUGAUUCAUUCAACAGGUAUCAUUGCCUAGAUCAUGUCAAUCCAGCAGAAUUUUUGGCUGAUCUCAUAUCUAUUGACUAUAGUUCUGCUGAAAGUGUGUACUCAUCUCAGAAAAGGAUAGAUGGUCUUGUUGAGUCAUUCUCACAACAAUUGUCAAUGAUGCUUUAUGCAACUCCCCUUACCAGAAGGGAGAGCCCUAAGAAUGACAGGAAGUUAAGCAAGAAAACUGUUGUGAAAAGGAAAGAGUCUUGGUGGAGGCAAUUCUGGUUGCUCCUUAAACGUGCAUGGAUGCAAGUUUGUUUCUCAACUGUCACUUGAAUAAUUUUUAUGUGUUCAAAUGUUCUCAUUUUAUGACAUAAUGUGAUGCAGCCAAUUCCCUGUAUCUUAUAAAAAGGAAGUCUGCUCAAAUAGUUGGGCUCAAGAUAAACUACAGACAUGACAUUGUUUUACUUUAUUUUUCUUUAACUUUAAUCUUAGCUUCUUUAUUUAGCUGCUUACCAGUCAGCCAACCAGCAAUUUCCAAGAGCAUAACUUCAUCUUUUACCCAAUUUUAGAUGACCAAUUCACUCCUUUGGCCUAGAAUUACAACCACAGAAAUACAAUAUAGGACAAUUUUGUUAAGCAAAUUCAUAAAAUUUAUUAGAUUCUCAUUAAAAUUGAAUGAGACGAACUAGGAUGGUCAAUAAGUUCUUGUAGUUUUUUAAUAGAUAUUAAUUCUCAAAUAAAUAUAACCUGAUUAAAUCCUUUUAAUGAGUUGCUAGGCUUCUCGAGAUGGGCCAACAAACAAAGUUCGGGCAAGAAUGUCAAUUGCGUCAGCUAUAAUAUUUGGAUCAGUUUUCUGGAGAAUGGGAAGAUCUCAGACAUCAAUACAAGACAGGAUGGGAUUGCUCCAGGUCACAGCAAUAAACACAGCAAUGGCUGCUCUCACAAAAACUGUGGGUGUGUUUCCCAAGGAACGUGCAAUUGUAGAUAGAGAGCGUGCAAAGGGAUCAUAUGCAUUAGGACCAUAUCUGCUCUCUAAAUUGAUAGCUGAGAUUCCUGUUGGAGCUGCAUUUCCAUUAAUGUUUGGUGCUUUAUUGUAUCCCAUGGCACGUCUCCAUCCCACUUUGUCUAGGUUUGGAAAGUUCUGUGGAAUUGUGACAGCAGAAUCAUUUGCUGCAUCUGCUAUGGGUCUAACUGUGGGAGCUAUGGUUCCAACCACUGAAGCAGCAAUGGCACUAGGACCAUCUCUUAUGACAGUUUUUAUUGUAUUUGGGGGGUAUUAUGUUAAUGCAGAUAAUACACCAAUCAUCUUCCGAUGGAUACCUAAUG
rnacentral:misc_RNA from 1 species